rnacentral:rRNA from 1 species
AUACGGAGGGUGCAAGCGUUGUUCGGAAUCACUGGGCGUAAAGCGCGCGCAGGCGGAUUGGCAAGUUGGAUGUGAAAGCCUGCGGCUCAACCGCAGAACUGCAUCCAAAACUGUCAGUCUAGAGUCUGGGAGAGGUAGCUGGAAUUAGUGGUGUAGGGGUAAAAUCCGUAGAGAUCACUAGGAAUACCGAAAGCGAAGGCGAGCUACUGGAACAGUACUGACGCUGAGGCGCGAAAGCGUGGGGAGCAAACAGGAUUAGAAACCCCAGUAGUCC